rnacentral:rRNA from 1 species
UACGUAGGGUGCAAGCGUUAAUCGGAAUUACUGGGCGUAAAGCAUGCGCAGGCGGCUUUGCAAGACAGAUGUGAAAUCCCCGGGCUCAACCUGGGAAUUGCAUUGGAUACUGGCAGGCUAGAGUGCGGUAGAGGAUGGCGGAAUUCCCGGUGUAGCAGUGAAAUGCGUAGAGAUCGGGAGGAACAUCUGUGGCGAAGGCGGCCAUCUGGACCAGCACUGACACUGAGGCACGAAAGCGUGGGGAGCAAACAGG